rnacentral:rRNA from 1 species
UGGGCAACCUGCCCCUGACACUGGGAUAACCCCGGGAAACCGGAGCUAAUACCGGAUACUCUCGGCCGAUCACAUGGCUGGCCGAGGAAAGGUCCGCCGGUCAGGGAUGGGCCCGCGGCCUAUCAGCUUGUUGGCGAGGUAACGGCUCACCAAGGCGACGACGGGUAGCCGGCCUGAGGGGUGACCGGCCACACUGGGACUGAGACACGGCCCAGACUCCUACGGGAGGCA